UUGCUUUACUCUUCUGUGAUUCUUUCUUCUUCUCCAUUUUCUAUUUUACAGGUGGCUGAGAGAAACUAGUGAAGAAGAAAGCCGCACGACAUUUUUGUAUUCUUGAUUUCUUUAUUUCUGAUAGUAUUUUCAAUUUAGAAUUUAAACUGCGCUGCGUGGGUUUGAUCAUUCGGCAUUCUGAUUUAAGAAAUGUAGGAGUCAAAGAACUUGAUAAACAAUAUGUGGUGGGGUGUGAGAAAGAAGAAGAUAUGGGGUGGUAGGGUGUGAGGAAGAAAAGAAACGCAGUGGUGGGGUGUGACGAAGGAAAAGAAAUAGGGGUGGUGGGGU
rnacentral:lncRNA from 1 species